UCUAUGCUUUGCCCGUUUCGUUCGAUUGGCAAAGUGGAAUAAAAAUUGUUCAGUUUAUUUCGUGCGUUUAACGUAUUCGGUUGUGCUAGUUCGUGGUAAAAGUGUCGAAAUAGAAAAGUGCUUUGCCGUCUGUAUGUGUAUAAAGUGAAAAAAUAGAAAAUUUUAUGAAGUGAAAAUUGAAAAAAGGAGCGGAAUAGACACGACGAACUGAAGUGAAUAAAGAAAAUUAAAUGCGACGGUGAAUGAAAAUUGCAAAUACAGACAUAAUAAUAAAAU